rnacentral:rRNA from 1 species
CACGUAGGGCGCAAGCGUUGUCCGGAAUUAUUGGGCGUAAAGAGCUCGUAGGUGGUUUGUUACGUCUGCUGUGAAAACCUAGGGCUUAACCCUGGGCUUGCAGUGGAUACGGGCAGACUAGAGGUAGGCAGGGGAGAGCGGAACUCCUGGUGUAGCGGUGGAAUGCGCAGAUAUCAGGAAGAACACCGGUGGCGAAGGCGGCUCUCUGGGCCUUACCUGACGCUGAGGAGCGAAAGCGUGGGUAGCGAACAGG